GCGGGGUUAGCUUAGUUGGGAGAGCGUUAGACUGAAAGUCAAACUUCAUCACCUAUCUGAAGGUCGUGUGUUCGAUCCACAUACACCGCA